AUUGAACGCUGGCGGUAGGCCUAACACAUGCAAGUCGAGCGAGCGGCGGACGGGUGCGUAAUGUCUGGGAAACUGCCUGAUGGAGGGGGAUAACUACUGGAAACGGUAGCUAAUACCGCAUACCAUCAGAUGUGCCCAGAUUGGAUUAGCUAGUAGGUGGGGUAACGGCUAACCUAGGCGACGAUCCCUAGCUGGUCUAAGAGGAUGACCAGCAACAAUGGAACUGAGCAACGGUCCGAAGUCCUACGGUGGGAGGCAGUGGGGAAUAUAGCACAAGGGGCACAGUCCUGAUGCGGCCAAGCCAGGUGUGUAGUGAAGGCCUUCGGUUUGUAAAGCACUUUCAGCGGGGAGGCGUUACCCGCAGAAAAAGCACCGGCUAACUCCGUGCCAGCAGCCGCGGUAAUAC
rnacentral:rRNA from 1 species